AACGUACGCUGGCGGCACGCCUAACACAUGCAAGUCGAACGAAGUAGCAAUACUUAGUGGCAGACGGGUGAGUAACAUGUAGGUAUCUGCCCUUUGGCCUGGAAUAACACGAGGAAACUUGUGCUAAUACCGGAUAAGUCUUUACGGAGAAAGCUUUAUGCACCAUUGGAUGAGCCUGCACUUGAUUAGUUUGUUGGUGGGGUAAUGGCCUACCAAGACUGUGAUCAAUAGCUGAUUUGAGAGGAUGAUCAGCCACAUUGGGACUGAGACACGGCCCAAACUCCUACGGGAGGCAGCAGUGGGGAAUCUUGCACAAUGGAGGAAACUCUGAUGCAGCGAUGCCGCGUGAGUGAAGAAGGCCCUUGGGUUGUAAAGCUCUUUCGUCGGGGAAGAAAAUGACUGUACCCGAAUAAGAAGGUCCGGCUAACUUCGUGCCAGCAGCCGCGGUAAUACGAAGGGACCUAGCGUAGUUCGGAAUUACUGGGCUUAAAGAGUUCGUAGGUGGUCGAAAAAGUUAGUGGUGAAAUCCCAGAGCUUAACUCUGGAACUGCCAUUAAAACUUUUCAGCUAGAGUAUGAUAGAGGAAAGCAGAAUUUCUAGUGUAGAGGUGAAAUUCGUAGAUAUUAGAAAGAAUACCAAUUGCGAAGGCAGCUUUCUGGAUCAUUACUGACACUGAGGAACGAAAGCAUGGGUAGCGAAGAGGAUUAGAUACCCUCGUAGUCCAUGCCGUAAACGAUGUGUGUUAGACGUUGGAAAUUUAUUUUCAGUGUCGCAGGGAAACCGAUAAACACACCGCCUGGGGAGUACGACCGCAAGGUUAAAACUCAAAUGAAUUGACGGGGACCCGCACAAGUAGUGGAGCAUGUGGUUUAAUUCGAAGAUACGCGCAGAACCUUACCAACACUUGACAUGUUCGUCGCGACUCUAAGAGAUUAGAGUUUUCGGUUCGGCCGGACGAAACACAGGUGCUGCAUGGCUGUCGUCAGCUCGUGUCGUGAGAUGUUGGGUUAAGUCCCGCAACGAGCGCAACCCUCACUUUUAGUUGCCAUCAUUAAGUUGGGCACUCUGAAAGAACUGCCAGUGAUAAGCUGGAGGAAGGUGGGGAUGACGUCAAGUCCUCAUGGCCCUUACGUGUUGGGCUACACACGUGCUACAAUGGUAUCUACAACAGGAAGCAAGACUGCGAAGUUAAGCAAAUCCCUAAAAGAUACCUCAGUUCGGAUUGCACUCUGCAACUCGAGUGCAUGAAAGCUGGAAUUACUAGUAAUCGUGGAUCAGCGUGCCACGGUGAAAUGCGUUCCCGGGUCU
rnacentral:rRNA from 1 species